rnacentral:rRNA from 1 species
CAUGGGCAGGUUGAAGGUUGGGUAACACUAACUGGAGGACCGAACCGACUAAUGUUGAAAAAUUAGCGGAUGACCUGUGGCUGGGGGUGAAAGGCCAAUCAAACCGGGAGAUAGCUGGUUCUCCCCGAAAGCUAUUUAGGUAGCGCCUCGUGAAUUCAUCUCCGGGGGUAGAGCACUGUUUCGGCUAGGGGGCCAUCCCGGCUUACCAACCCGAUGCAAACUGCGAAUACCGGAGAAUGUUAUCACGGGAGACACACGGCGGGUGCUAACGUCCGUCGUGAAGAGGGAAACAACCCAGACCGCCAGCUAAGGUCCCAAAGUCAUGGUUAAGUGGGAAACGAUGUGGGAAGGCCCAGACAGCCAGGAUGUUGGCUUAGAAGCAGCCAUCAUUUAAAGAAAGCGUAAUAGCUCACUGGUCGAGUCGGCCUGCGCGGAAGAUGUAACGGGGCUAAACCAUGCACCGAAGCUGCGGCAGCGACACUGUGUGUUGUUGGGUAGGGGAGCGUUCUGUAAGCCUGUGAAGGUGGCCUGUGAGGGUUGCUGGAGGUAUCAGAAGUGCGAAUGCUGACAUAAGUAACGAUAAAGCGGGUGAAAAGCCCGCUCGCCGGAAGACCAAGGGUUCCUGUCCAACGUUAAUCGGGGCAGGGUGAGUCGACCCCUAAGGCGAGGCCGAAAGGCGUAGUCGAUGGGAAACGGGUUAAUAUUCCCGUACUUGGUGUUACUGCGAAGGGGGGACGGAGAAGGCUAUGUUGGCCGGGCGACGGUUGUCCCGGUUUAAGCGUGUAGGUGUGUGUUCCAGGUAAAUCCGGUUCACUUUAACACUGAGGCGUGAUGACGAGGCACUACGGUGCUGAAGCAACAAAUGCCCUGCUUCCAGGAAAAGCCUCUAAGCAUCAGGUAACAUCAAAUCGUACCCCAAACCGACACAGGUGGUCAGGUAGAGAAUACCAAGGCGCUUGAGAGAACUCGGGUGAAGGAACUAGGCAAAAUGGUGCCGUAACUUCGGGAGAAGGCACGCUGACACGUAGGUGAAGUGAUUUACUCAUGGAGCUGAAGUCAGUCGAAGAUACCAGCUGGCUGCAACUGUUUAUUAAAAACACAGCACUGUGCAAACACGAAAGUGGACGUAUACGGUGUGACGCCUGCCCGGUGCCGGAAGGUUAAUUGAUGGGGUCAGCGCAAGCGAAGCUCCUGAUCGAAGCCCCGGUAAACGGCGGCCGUAACUAUAACGGUCCUAAGGUAGCGAAAUUCCUUGUCGGGUAAGUUCCGACCUGCACGAAUGGCGUAAUGAUGGCCAGGCUGUCUCCACCCGAGACUCAGUGAAAUUGAACUCGCUGUGAAGAUGCAGUGUACCCGCGGCAAGACGGAAAGACCCCGUGAACCUUUACUAUAGCUUGACACUGAACAUUGAGCCUUGAUGUGUAGGAUAGGUGGGAGGCUUUGAAGUGUGGACGCCAGUCUGCAUGGAGCCGACCUUGAAAUACCACCCUUUAAUGUUUGAUGUUCUAACGUGGACCCGUAAUCCGGGUUGCGGACAGUGUCUGGUGGGUAGUUUGACUGGGGCGGUCUCCUCCUAAAGAGUAACGGAGGAGCACGAAGGUUGGCUAAUCCUGGUCGGACAUCAGGAGGUUAGUGCAAUGGCAUAAGCCAGCUUGACUGCGAGCGUGACGGCGCGAGCAGGUGCGAAAGCAGGUCAUAGUGAUCCGGUGGUUCUGAAUGGAAGGGCCAUCGCUCAACGGAUAAAAGGUACUCCGGGGAUAACAGGCUGAUACCGCCCAAGAGUUCAUAUCGACGGCGGUGUUUGGCACCUCGAUGUCGGCUCAUCACAUCCUGGGGCUGAAGUAGGUCCCAAGGGUAUGGCUGUUCGCCAUUUAAAGUGGUACGCGAGCUGGGUUUAGAACGUCGUGAGACAGUUCGGUCCCUAUCUGCCGUGGGCGCUGGAGAACUGAGGGGGGCUGCUCCUAGUACGAGAGGACCGGAGUGGACGCAUCACUGGUGUUCGGGUUGUCAUGCCAAUGGCACUGCCCGGUAGCUAAAUGCGGAAGAGAUAAGUGCUGAAAGCAUCUAAGCACGAAACUUGCCCCGA